rnacentral:rRNA from 1 species
GACGAACGCUGGCGGCGUGCUUAACACAUGCAAGUCGAACGCUGAAGCUUGGUGCUUGCACUGGGUGGAUGAGUGGCGAACGGGUGAGUAAUACGUGAGUAACCUGCCCUUGACUCUGGGAUAAGCCUGGGAAACUGGGUCUAAUACUGGAUAUGACAUGCCACUGCAUGGUGGUGUGUGGAAAGGGUUUUACUGGUUUUGGAUGGGCUCACGGCCUAUCAGCUUGUUGGUGGGGUAAUGGCCUACAAAGGCGACGACGGGUAGCCGGCCUGAGAGGGUGACCGGCCACACUGGGACUGAGACACGGCCCAGACUCCUACGGGAGGCAGCAGUGGGGAAUAUUGCACAAUGGGCGGAAGCCUGAUGCAGCGACGCCGCGUGAGGGAUGACGGCCUUCGGGUUGUAAACCUCUUUCAGCACGGAAGAAGCGAGAGUGACGGUACGUGCAGAAGAAGCGCCGGCUAACUACGUG